UCGAAUGAGAGCACAACAGUGGACGCAACAGCACCCCGCUAGCAAGACAGGUCAAGGUAUAGCUCAUGGGACGGAAGAAAUGGGCUACAUUCCCUAUGCAUAGGGUAACACGGAAAGAAGCAUGAAACUGCUUCUGG
rnacentral:rRNA from 1 species